AACAGAGCCCCCAAGCGUUAUCCGGAUUUAUUGGGCGUAAAGGGUCUGUAGCCGGUCUGGCAAGUCUUGGGUUAAAUACCUCGGGCUCAACCUGAGGAAUGCCUAAGAAACUGCCAAACUAGAGGACGUUAGAGGCUGAUGGAACGCACGGUGGAGGGGUGAAAUCCGUUGAUAUCGUGCGGAACACCAAAAGCGAAGGCAUUCAGCUGGGGCGAUCCUGACGGUGAGAGACGAAAGCGUGGGGCGCAAAGAGG
rnacentral:misc_RNA from 1 species